rnacentral:rRNA from 1 species
UACAGAGGGUGCAAGCGUUAAUCGGAUUUACUGGGCGUAAAGCGUGUGUAGGUGGCUCCCUAAGUCGGUUGUGAAAUCCCUGGGCUCAACCUGGGGAUUGCAGUCGAUACUGGGAAGCUAGAGUUCGGUAGAGGGUGACGGAAUUCCCGGUGUAGCGGUGAAAUGCGUAGAUAUCGGGAGGAACAUCGAUGGCGAAGGCAAUCACCUGGGCCUGAACUGACACUGUGACACGAAAGCGUGGGUAGCAAACAGG